rnacentral:rRNA from 1 species
GCUCGUAGGCGGCCAGUUGCGUCCGCUGUGAAAUCCCGGGGCUUAACCCCGGGCGUGCAGUGGAUACGGGCUGGCUAGAGGCAGGCAGGGGAGAACGGAAUUCCCGGUGUAGCGGUGAAAUGCGCAGAUAUCGGGAGGAACACCGGUGGCGAAGGCGGUUCUCUGGGCCUGUACUGACGCUGAGGAGCGAAAGCGUGGGGAGCGAACAGGAUUAGAUACCCUGGUAGUCCACGCCGUAAACGUUGGGCGCUAGGUGUGGGUCCCUUCCACGGGGUCUGUGCCGCAGCUAACGCAUUAAGCGCCCCGCCUGGGGAGUACGGCCGCAAGGCUAAAACUCAAAGAAAUUGACGGGGGCCCGCACAAGCGGCGGAGCAUGUUGCUUAAUUCGACGCAACGCGAAGAACCUUACCAAGGUUUGACAUGGCCGGAAAACUCAUGGAGACAUGGGGUCCUUCGGGGCCGGUCACAGGUGGUGCAUGGCUGUCGUCAGCUCGUGUCGUGAGAUGUUGGGUUAAGUCCCGCAACGAGCGCAACCUCUCGUCCAAUGUU